rnacentral:rRNA from 1 species
UGCGUAGGUGGUGAUUUAAGUCAGCGGUGAAAGUUUGUGGCUCAACCAUAAAAUUGCCGUUGAAACUGGGUUACUUGAGUGUGUUUGAGGUAGGCGGAAUGCGUGGUGUAGCGGUGAAAUGCAUAGAUAUCACGCAGAACUCCGAUUGCGAAGGCAGCUUACUAAACCAUAACUGACACUGAAGCACGAAAGGCGUGGGGAGUCAAACCAA